CUACGGGGGGCUCCAGUGAGGAAUAUUGCACAAUGGGGGCAACCCUGAUGCAGCAACGCCGCGUGGAGGAUGACGCAUUUCGGUGUGUAAACUCCUUUUAUCAGAGAAGAACCAUGACGGUAUCUGAUGAAUAAGCUCCGGCUAACUCCGUGCCAGCAGCCGCGGUAAUACGGAGGGAGCAAGCGUUAUUCGGAAUCACUGGGCGUAAAGGACGCGUAGGCCGGUCUGUAAGUCAGGUGUGAAAUGCAAUGGCUCAACCAUUGAACUGCACUUGAAACUGCGGACCUAGGGUAUGAAGGGGCAGAUGGAAUUAGUGGUGUAGGGGUAAAAUCCGUAGAUAUCACUAGGAAUACCGAAAGCGAAGGCGAUCUGCUGGGACAUAACUGACGCUGAGGCGUGAAAGCGUGGGGAGCAAACAGGAUUAGAUACCCGUGUAGUC
rnacentral:rRNA from 1 species